GGAAGAGUGAUGAAAUGGUAGCCAUAGCAGUUUGCUAAACUGCCGUCCGAAAGGGCGUGGGAGUUCAAUCCUCCCCUCUUCCG
rnacentral:tRNA from 1 species